GAUGAAGAACGUAGCGAAAUGCGAUAAGUAAUGUGAAUUGCAGAAUUCAGUGAAUCAUCGAAUCUUUGAACGCACAUUGCGCCCCUUGGUAUUCCGAGGGGCAUGCCUGUUCGAGCGUCAUUAUAACCCCUCAAGCUCAGCUUGGUGUUGGGGCCUGCUGCACUGGCAGCCCUUAAAAUCAGUGGCGGCGCCAUCUGGCUCCAAGCGUAGUAAUUCUUCUCGCUAUGGAGUCCUGGUGGAUGCUUGCCAUCAACCCCCAAUUUUUCUAUGGUUGACCUCGGAUCAGGUAGGGAUACCAGCUGAACUUAAGCAUAUCAAUAAGCGGAGGA
rnacentral:misc_RNA from 1 species